UGGGGAAUAUUGCACAAUGGGCGCAAGCCUGAUGCAGCCAUGCCGCGUGUAUGAAGAAGGCCUUCGGGUUGUAAAGUACUUUCAGCGGGGAGGAAGGUGUUGUGGUUAAUAACCACAGCAAUUGACGUUACCCGCAGAAGAAGCACCGGCUAACUCCGUGCCAGCAGCCGCGGUAAUACGGAGGGUGCAAGCGUUAAUCGGAAUUACUGGGCGUAAAGCGCACGCAGGCGGUCUGUCAAGUCGGAUGUGAAAUCCCCGGGCUCAACCUGGGAACUGCAUCCGAAACUGGUAGGCUUGAGUCUUGUAGAGGGGGGUAGAAUUCCAGGUGUAGCGGUGAAAUGCGUAGAGAUCUGGAGGAAUACCGGUGGCGAAGGCGGCCCCCUGGACAAAGACUGACGCUCAGGUGCGAAAGCGUGGGGAGCAAACA
rnacentral:rRNA from 1 species